rnacentral:tRNA from 1 species
UGUGUUGUGGCUCAAUGGUAGAGUGCUUGCCUGGCACGUGUGAGGCACUGGGUUCAGUCCUCAGCACCAUAU